rnacentral:rRNA from 1 species
UGGGGAAUUUUGGACAAUGGGCGAAAGCCUGAUCCAGCAAUGCCGCGUGUGUGAAGAAGGCCUUCGGGUUGUAAAGCACUUUUGUCCGGAAAGAAAUCCUUGGCUCUAAUACAGUCGGGGGAUGACGGUACCGGAAGAAUAAGCACCGGCUAACUACGUGCCAGCAGCCGCGGUAAUACGUAGGGUGCAAGCGUUAAUCGGAAUUACUGGGCGUAAAGCGUGCGCAGGCGGUUUGCUAAGACCGAUGUGAAAUCCCCGGGCUCAACCUGGGACUGCAUUGGUGACUGGCAGGCUAGAGUAUGGCAGAGGGGGGUGAGAAUUCCACGUNUAGCAGUGAAAUGCGUAGAGAUGUGGAGGAAUACCGAU